AGAAGCGCGCUGUGCGCUAGAGCGAUAAUUACCGUUUCACUAAACAAAUUGAAAUCGGUGCACAAAGCAAUGUGUCUGCUAUAUAAAUCAAGUUUGAGUGAAACGGGACUCACUAUUGCACGCAAACCAUCAACAAAAACACUUAAAAACGUUGUUUAAAGGGCAUUUUCAAUCAAAAAGUUACAAAGGAUAAUUAAUACUCAAAAUAUAACAUAAGAUGCAAUAUUUUCACGUGUUUGCAUUUUUGUUGCUUCUCAACAUCGGAAUAAACUUGAUAACAUUUACUGAAGCAAGAAUUGAUGAAGAACAUCAUCACUAUUACCAUCAUCAUCAUCUAAAAGACCAAGCACCUACGGACGCGAGUUUUCGCCAUCGUUAUAACGCCAUCUUGCAUUCGCACAACCCGAUGUUCGGCGUAAUGUCAAAGUAUUUUCUGCGUAACCGCGCCCAGGAGCAUGAACCACACGAUCGCAAACGUCGUCAAACUCAACAAUCACUCCAACAGCUUGAACAACUCGCAAAACUUCAACAGAAUCAACAAAAUAAAAGAAAAUUCAUUCCGUACAAUCAAAAUGUCCGCCAAGUUAGGCAACCACAAGUAUAUCCUAAUGGUUAUUCAAGUUAUCCGAGAUAUCAACAAGCGCAACCAUCCCAACAAAUUUAUUUCAGUGGUCGUAAAUGGAAUGGAGGCCCUCCUAUUAGUCAAUAUCAGAGUAAUCAGUUUGGUUUGUAUGGCAAGCCGCAGACAUUGAGUAAUUAUUAUAGAAACAAAGGAGAUUAUUAUAGAGCGUAUAAUAUUGGUAAACAGUAUUCACAGUUUAAUGGCCCACCACAAAGUUUUAACAGACUUAUCAAGAGACAAGAUAAUUCAAAUCAGAAUCAAAAUUCAAAUUUAAAUCAAAAUUCAGCGAAUUCUGCUGGUAGGAAACCGAUUAAACGAAAGUUUCGGCCUACUUUGGUUCAAUCUUAAAGAUUUGUGGUAAUUAUUUUGUUAAAAUUGUGUUUAUGUGUAUUUAUUAUGUUUAAAGUUAUAAUUUAUAUUUAUAUUUUAUUUUAUUUUUAUUUUUAUACAAAAUCUGAUUUUAUAUGACGAUUACUACUUAAAUAAUUAAUUUGAUAAUAAAAUAGUACAGAGAUAAA